GACGAACGCUGGCGGCGUGCUUAACACAUGCAAGUCGAACGGAAAGGCCCUGCUUGCAGGGUACUCGAGUGGCGAACGGGUGAGUAACACGUGGGUUAUCUGCCCUGCACUUCGGGAUAAGCCUGGGAAACUGGGUCUAAUACCGGAUAGGAGCCAUUUUUAGUGUGAUGGUUGGAAAGUUUUUUCGGUGUAGGAUGAGCUCGCGGCCUAUCAGCUUGUUGGUGGGGUAAUGGCCCACCAAGGCGGCGACGGGUAGCCGGCCUGAGAGGGUGGACAGCCACAUUGGGACUGAGAUACGGCCCAGACUCCUACGGGAGGCAGCAGUGGGGAAUAUUGCACAAUGGGCGCAAGCCUGAUGCAGCGACGCCGCGUGGGGGAUGACGGCCUUCGGGUUGUAAACUCCUUUCGCUAGGGACGAAGCUUUUUGUGACGGUACCUAGAUAAGAAGCACCGGCUAACUACGUG
rnacentral:rRNA from 1 species